rnacentral:piRNA from 1 species
UGGCUGGAGUUAAAACAGUGAAUGCUCUGC